CCGCGCGCGCCCCCUGGCGGCGGGAGGGCGAAUGGCGAUCCCUGGGAACGGCGGGGGCCGGAGGAGGCCUUGUGUGGAUAGACAAGGAGCUCUUGGACAGGCUCAGACACUAAAGGAGGCUGUGGAGGGUGGAAGCAGGAGCUGAAGCCUGGCAGGAAUACAGAGAAGUUGUCCGGGCAGCCAGGGAUAGAGGAGAUAAAGCUCCGAGAGAGUUAGACAUGGCCAGGGACAUCAAGGACAAGAGGAAAAGCUUCUGCAGGAUGUGCUCCAGCCACACUGCCCGAGCUGCAGAAGGGAAAAACAGGGCCUGGGGGACUGAGGAAUCACCUGCUGGAGAAGAUGGGAUUCAAGGCUGUCCAAAGCACCUGGAGGUGCACAAACCCAUGGCACCUGAUGAGAUGUAUCCACACGUCCUAAAGGAACUGGUGUCUCCCUCCCCAGACAGAUUUCUACAGCUUCUUCCACACCACUCAUAGAUGACCUUCCUGUACUUUAGGUGUGCUUCCUUGGAGGGAAGCAAGAGGCUUGGGCACGCUCCCUAUUUUUACCAGCUAUUUUCCCUUGCAAUCCUUCAAAACCCAGCAGGGCUAUUGCCAGAGCUGAACCCUGUGGGGUGUAAGAAAUGUGCCCUGCCUGGGGACAGCCACCCCCCCAGUGCUCACAGCACUGCUGGGCUGCCCCAGCCCCACUGCAGGCUCCCCGUGGCAGAGCUGCAGGCAGCCAGCAGCGUGCCUCACCUUGCACAGCCCUUGCUGUCAGGUAAGGGCUGUGGGAUGCACAAUUUGAAUCUGAACCCCCUUUUUUUGUGCCACCAGAUCCAGUUUCUGACACAGGCAGGCAGCACUGCACGGAGAGAUGGGAAAGAAAAAGAUAAAAGCAGUGUUCAUUGCCCUGUGAUCCCAGCUUCCAGGAGCACUUCUGUAACACACACAAUGGCACUGCUUUCUUCAUUCCCUGUAAGGAGGCUCAGUUUGGGCCAAAGCACUGGUCAGAUUUGGCUGCCAGCUGGUGAAUGCCUGAUCCUGUGGUCAAAUCAACCCUCCUGCCUGCCAGCAGCUCCUUCCAAUUGCUAGGAGCAAGCAUGGAAGGGACUAGGAGGAGGAAAAGGGAAGCACAGAGAUGGCUGGAGGAGCUGUGUCCACCACCCAUGGCAGAGGCCUUGCUGGAACCUCAUGGUACCUGUGAUGGGGUUUCCUGGCCCUGACUGGGCUCCCAUCAGUCAGCCACACACUGAUCCCAAUCCUACACCAGGAUUCCAGUCACAAGCUCCUACCAGGCAUGGCUCUGGAGAACUUUAGUUCAAGGCAGCUUCAGGUCUAGCCAAGGAGACCUUUUGGUUUACCAGACACCCAGGCUGUCAGCAGAGCAGGCAAGCAGCUUGAGAUGUGGAAAAGGCAGUUUUGUGGCACAAACCCCAAAUCCUGCAACAGGACAAUUCCUCAAAAAAGCAGGAAUUCCUCACUUCUUACCUUUGAGGCUGGAGAGCAGCAUGGGAAGAGCAAAGCUGUUCUGAUUCUACCAACAGACUGGAAACAAGCCUGCCCUAGCACAACGCUCCCUUCUUCCCACAUGCUCUCUCCUCAUUAUCUUUAGCCCUUCCAGCUGCAUCCCUGCGUGCAUGCUCGUACCAAAAAUGCCCAAGCAGAGUAAAAACCAACAGCCCUCAGCCUCUGGUGCCUAUAAUUCAGCAGUGGCUUGAGGAACCUGGCCCCAGCUGCUACAGGACCCCCCCAGGAGGAAGCACGUUCAUAGCACGUCAGCUGCAGGGCACUUUGCUAAAUGUGAGUGACUUUCUGCAUGUCCAAGUGAGGAACAGCCCACAGGGGACAGGAUGGAAAUUGCCCUUGGGGAUUUCACAAGGGCGCUGUGAAGCACACACAACUUCUCAGCUUUUCUGAGAGUUCAGCAGCGAGGCUUGUGCCACCACCUCUUCCCCCACAGGAUGAGCAGAGGCUCAGGACAAGGAACAGCCACGAUGGGGCUGGCAGAGGCAGUGAGCUCGAGGCCCACAGGCAGAAAAAUAAACCUGCUGAAUAAAUCAGUGUUGCAAUCAACAGAGAUGGAACAGCAGGAAAUGGAGGGACAAAACCACAAAAGGUGUAAUUUAGAAAGACUUAGCUGAAAUCUACAUGUCCACUGCCCAAAGGCCAGAAGGGUAUUGAUGCCAACCCAAACUGAGUGGAGCUCCAGCAACCUCUGUUCAUACAUUCAGAGACGCCCAGCUUCUGUGUUUGGCACAACCAUUUAAUAGCAGAAUUGAAAACUCAGUAUGUUCCAUUUUAAUCUUAUGUGGAAAAUCAGUGCAGGUGAUAAUCUAAUUGUACAACAACAUGUUAAAAAAAUUUAUUUUACAUUAUGUACAUUAGGGAACAUAUUUCAAAGCAUUACCCAUCACAACAAUAACGCAGGCCAUAAAUCACUUUUAAUUUAGUUUGGUUUUAGUGUAUAUUAUCACAAUAAAAUAUAAAGAACAUAUACAAAAAAAGGAGUCAAAUGUGUGCAUUUUGCUUAAAACUUGGCAUUUACACACUCCAUUGGAAAAUAGCAGUCAAAAAUACUUCUGAUCAAAACUAAGUUCCCGUGAUGCGUAGUAACCAUCGUGUUGUUUCAAUGAGGUAGUAACUAAAUUUUGGCCAUGUGUUAACAUCCUAAAAUCAAGAAAAGUGAAAAUGGUUAUAA